rnacentral:lncRNA from 1 species
CCCAGUUGUCGAGGGGUUUGAACCCGUUUCUGAGGAUCCCCUCACCUGGGGAGAAGAGAACGGGAGCAAUUCUUUCGGUACCUGAAGAGUGCUUGGAAGACAGCAGAAGAGACAUUUGGAGUAAACGAUGAUAAGAUAUAUUACUGUUAUCGCCUCUGGACAAAUAAGAUCCUGCCUGUUGAGAACAGAGCCUGACAUAUUUGCCGAGCACUACAGAAUGGAGUCCCACCA